UAUGAAAAAAGCCGCAUUUGUAUACAGCACAAUUAAGUACAGACUGAAUUACGUCGAGAAUGCAUGGCCAAAAUUGCGAUAGAAGUAAAACAUAUAUAGUACAAAUGAAGAGAACUGAAAAGAUAGAGUGAGCAGUACGGAAAAAUCUGUACACAUUGAUCUGUACACAUUGAUCAUGGAACAUAAGAUUUAAUAAUAAACAUUGAACGUAGAACCCGGAAUGUGCAAGUCAACUUUUGAUAUAUACUAUUGGAAAGAACGGCAGAUAUUCGUAGACUUACCGCAUCGAUGUUGACAUAGAACGAAGUGUAAUUUAUCACGCAA